GUCUUGUUUUGAUGUGAUGAGCAGGCAGCCCUUUGGCGGUGGACAGAACUUCAGAGAGUUCCAUAACUUGUUUUCCCCCCAAUCUGGUUGCAGGCAGAACUUGUUACUACUUCUUGCAGCAGUAAUUUAUCUGCUAUCAGAUGCAACAGGAAGUGGCUCCCUCCAGCCCACAACACUGUGGAUCCCAGUUGCUGUAGAGGGACUUCCACAGGGUGAGAGAGAAAGUAAGGCACAGAGCAGGAGCCUAACCUGCUUGUCCCUUUCUACAGCUUUGUGCUCCUUUCUGCUCACAGAAGAAAUGGGGAGCAUUUCAGCCUAAAUAAUCCUCAGAUCAUCUUGUGAAGAACUACCACCAUUUUAAAGGAUUCACAGACCAGGAAGCUCUGGAACUGAGAGAGGAGAGAGCCUCACAUGGAGUCUGGCUGAAAACAUUAGUGAGGAGGAGCUGUUUGGUACGACUUUAAAUUGUCUUGUAAUUAUGGAGACAUGGUUAAAGGAUCCCUGCCUGAUUCAGUUCUCAUGAAGGACCUUCUCUGAGGGUGAAGCAGGACUGUACAGUGAUGGAGACUAUUGUCUGUUGGGCCCCUGCUUCAUUUGUUGCAGAAGCCUGGAAGGUGUGUGGUGAAUUAGGCAAGAGAUUGCAGGAAGAGAAAGUAUGGUCUCAUAGUUAAGGCAGUUGAUGCUGCCCUGAGAACUGGACUCUAGCCCUGCCUCUGCUACAGAGUUCCUUCGUGGUACUCAGCAAGUCACUUAACCAAACUUUUCAUAAGUGGUUAUUAAGGCAUGUGUUCCUCACGUUCUGGGUGCCCGAAUUGAGUUCUUGGGGUCUGAUUUGCAGAAGUGCAGGGCAUUCACAGCUGCAACUCAAGUCAAUGGGAGCUGUGCUUUGAACAUACUAAGUGCUAUGUAAUUCGAAGUACUCUGAAAAAAUCAAGUCCUAGGGAUCUCCAACUGGGCAAAAUUAUUGGAUUUUUUUUACCUUAAUCUCACCGUAUUUCAGUUCCCCAGCUGUGCAACGGGGAUAUUAAUACCCACUUGCCUCACAAGAGUGUUGAGAAAAUAAAUUCAUUAAUGUUUGUGUAGCACUCAGAUAUGAGUGAUAUCCGCGAUGAACACCAAAGAAAAGCACACGAAGAAAUAAAUAAUUCAGUCUUCAGAGCAGAGUUUGAAUAGCAUGGAGUAAAUAAGGCCUAUGGCUACACGUUGAACAAUGAGAAAAAAAAUAAAAUAUUGAAUAGCUGCUCACUACGUAAGCACUGUCCAUUCUACACCCUGAAUGAGCCAGGAGUCCUGUAGAAAAAAUAGUACA